UACGUAGGGUGCAAGCGUUGUCCGGAAUUAUUGGGCGUAAAGAGCUCGUAGGCGGUCUGUUGCGUCGGCUGUGAAAACCCGGGGCUCAACUCCGGGCCUGCAGCCGAUACGGGCAGACUAGAGUUCGGCAGGGGAGACUGGAAUUCCUGGUGUAGCGGUGAAAUGCGCAGAUAUCAGGAGGAACACCGGUGGCGAAGGCGGUUCUCUGGGCCUGACCUGACGCUGAGGAGCGAAAGCGUGGGGAGCGAACAGG
rnacentral:rRNA from 1 species